UAGGUAUAUAAAGGAAAUAUUAAGUAUAGGAAAACUCUUUUUCGUUGUAGGUGACAUAUGCUUCACGGUUGAACACAUGUAUUUUUGAACACAUAUAAAUGAAAAAGUACUCUUAUGGAGAAAAAGAAUUGAUACCUUCGAUUGACAUUAGAUAAUGUAUAUAAACUUAUGAACAAUCACUAUCAGUUUGUAUCUUAGGUGCACACGCAGAUUUGUUGGAGUUCUUAUAAAAUGUACUUCCUGUACGAACGUUUUAUUCUUCCAAAUUUUACGAUACUAUGUCUCAUAUAAUAACUAUAUGGAUUAAACGUAAUAUAAAUGAUCCGAAAAUAGACUCGAACGACAUUAAUUGUCUUUCUAUUUAUACCAAUAUCGAAAAUACAAGUAAAGCUGGAGCAAUAGUAUGCAAGAAUGGACUAUUUAUUAUUUUAAACCAAAUCAUAGCAUAUUCAGAAUGCACAGUAUUAUCAUGAAAUGUAAAUGAAUCAGUUGUAAACGAACGAUUUUACUGUAAAAUCGUUGCCUCCUUUUUUUCAUCUGAAAUAUAGCAGCAAUGAGUACAUUCUUUUAAUAUAUAAUAAAACGAGAUAUCUUUAUAAAGUUACAUAUGUCAUCACUGGUAACUGUUAUCUCGUAUGACACCAAAUAUACCGUUAGUAUGGAAUGAUAUUUUUAUGAAGAUAUACUUUAAUGAUAGAUUUUAUGAAUGAAACGUUAUAUAAGAAAAAUUAUCUCUUGUUAUUCUAUGAAGUGUAGUAGCUAAUGAAGAUUAAUUUUACGAAGUAUUAGAGCAAAAGAGAAUUAAAAAAUUAAAAAGAUCUAAAUAAGAUUGUUCGUGUGGCUUAAUUAUCUCAAUUCUGGUACACCACUUGUUACAUUCUAACUAAUUAGCGCUAAACAAUAACUUGCAAAUAUUAAAGAUAUUAACACCUUAAUAUUAACACCUAAAGGUUUUCAGGAAAUUUUAUAAUAUUUGAUUAUUGUAUAUCUAGUCAUUGAUUGAUAAAAUUUCUUGUAUAAGCAUAGAUCGAGGUUGACGUCAUACGCAGAUUGCAUUACAGAACAAUGACGGGCUCCAAGAUGCUGUUCGGAUGUUUGGCGUUAAUUGCUUUUCUGCAUCCAUUAGUUCACGUUUGUACUUCGAGUAGUACAGCUCAAGAUUUGUACUUCGAGUUGUCUUUUUCCAUGCACUUCAAAUUCCAAUACGAUCUGGUCACGUGGCCUUCGUACAAUUUCGAAAUUUUACCUGUUUGGUAAUCGUCAAUGAAAAAAGAAGUUAUGCGUGACCUUAACACAUUGAAACAAUUUUUAUGAUUUUUUAUUUGCCGGUUGGUCAGCAAGUUAAUGGAAAAAUUUCACUUAACUAUUCGCGUUAAUUUCUUCGGUUUAACUUUUGGGAAAUGCUUCGUUAGCUUCGGAAAUAUUCCAACGAUUCGUUUUACGUACAAAAUAAGCAUGAUAAAUAUUACAUCACGGUAAUGUAAUAUCGGAAUAUAUUAAAGGUGUAAUUUUGUUCGAUUAAUUAUAAUUUAUUAAUAAUGGAUUGAAAAUACAGAUAUUAGUUAGACAGAGAAACGAUGUUUGAUUAACAGGAAAACUAAAUGCAACGCUCGUAUUUACAACAAAUAACUUGACAACUAUUUGGUAACUCUCUCUCUCUCUCUCUCUCUCUCUCACUAGCAACUCUAACACUCGACAACACUCGCAACUCAAUUCUAACGAUUCUAUGCUUCGACGUCUCGAUCAACUCUGAUUCUCGCAACACGCACACUUUUCGAUUCGCCUUGGAUAGCGAAACCGUCCUUCUUCUAACGCGUUUUUAAAACGCGAUGGCGCUAUCACUUUCUAAAAGCGUCGUCUUUACAUUUCCGAUGGCCACGGGCACACCCGACUGCCAGAUAUACAAUGUAUUAUAAGAGUAUCAUUACCAUACUUUUCAUGAAAAGAGCAAUUUUUCUUGAUAACUAUACUCUGUAACAUAGAUUGAAGUCGCUGAUUUGAUCCCUCUGAUAUCGUUGUCUUAUGAGAGUCUCGCCUGGUCUUGAUUGGUUCUGUUGACUCUUAUCGUUGUGAAAAAUCGAUUCGUUGUGUACCUUUUUUGUAUAGAGAAUUAUUUUGUGGUAGAAUAUAAUGUUGUUAUAUUUGUGGUCUUUACUUUACUAAUUUUGUCACUGAGCCGCUCUUUGGUUCGUUGAGCGAUUCAUAUUCCGCAUAUAUUCCGUACUUGCUUCGCUUGGUACUUUUAUAAUUUUCGCAGUUACAAUAAAAAAUUUAAUUCUUAACAGAUUAAAGAUUUAACCUCUUGCUUUAUAGUGUACAAUAAUUUUUUUUUUUUUUUGUAUAGGUUAUGUGAUCCAUAGUUUGAGUAAGUAGUACAUAUAUAUAUAUAUAUAUAUAUAUAUAUAUAUAUAUAUAUAUAUAUAUAUAUAUAUAUAUUUACGUGACAAGCUUUCAUUUCAAUCUAUAUUUAAGAUUAAUAUUUUAUCAGUUUCUGUUCGUAACAACAUCGAAGUAGUCAAUAAGUUUGAAGAGUAUAAUUAAGGAAGUUAUGAAGCAAGAGGUUAAGAACAAAUUCUGAAAGAGGUUAUGUACAACUCAGUAGUACUGCUUUACAUUACUUUGCGAAUUACUUUUCAAGCAUAAAAAUAGUUUAACAGCCACUUAUAGUUACUUCCUUACCAUUACAUUCAUUAAAUUCGUUUGAUUUU